AUUGAACGCUGGCGGCAGGCCUAACACCUGCAAGUCGAGCGAGCGGCGGACGGGUGAGUAAUGUCUGGGAAACUGCCUGAUGGAGGGGGAUAACUACUGGAAACGGUAGCUAAUACCGCAUACCAUCAGAUGUGCCCAGAUGGGAUUAGCUAGUAGGUGGGGUAAUGGCUCACCUAGGCAACGAUCCCUAGCUGGUCUGAGAGGAUGAACAGACACACGGGAACUGAGACACGGUCCAGACUCUUACGGGAGGCAGCAGUGGGGAAUAUUGCACAAUGGGCGAAAGCCUGAUGCAGCCAUGCCGCGUGUGUGAAGAAGGCCUUCGGGUUGUAAAGCACUUUCAGCGAGGAGGCGUUACUCGCAGAAGAAGCACCGGCUAACUCCGUGCCAGCAGCCGCGGUAAUAC
rnacentral:rRNA from 1 species